rnacentral:lncRNA from 1 species
UCAGUCGGUCUCUCUAUCUCCCUCUGUUUAUCUUUGGUUCUAUCUAGAACCUUAUUUUCUCCCCUAUUCUCCGAUGGAGCCUGUCUACAUUCUCCGGCCACCUCCCUCGCCGAAAAUCAUGGCCUCUCAUCAUAUCCUGGCCUCUGCUUCACCUUAAGCUAGUUUGAUAUCACCCUGAGGUCCUCAGUGAACCUGAAGUGGUUCAACUCCUACCCAUGGACCUUCAUGGCAUUUUCUGGCCACCUCCAACCAUUUGAGUAAGAUCUAUGACUUUUACGGCUAAAACUAGUAAUGUUUUAAGGUUUUCUAAUCUUCUCUAGGUUCUCUGAAACCCUAGCUCUUAAGAUUUUCCGAUUUCUUUUAGAUCUGGCUAACUAUUAUGCCUAUCCUAUUUCUGUUUUGUGUUUUUGCUUUCUUCACAACACUAGUAUGUACUAAUUCAGAUUUCAGUCCUCAAACAGGCAUGUUUCUAUUACUGUUACAAUUCCUUGUAUUUCUGAUAUGCUUUUAUUUACUAUUUUUUCUGUUCAACAUGUAAUUAAGUUCUUGAAUUCCCUCUACAUGUUAAGUUAUACUUUACAUGUCAAUGACCAUCAUGUUUCUGUAUACUUAGUACAUGUUUUUUAUGUGAAUCCCCAUGAUUGGUAUGUGAGUUUGAUCAUGGUCUUAGUUGUUUGGUGUUGAUAUGUUAAUCUAAUCCAUUACCCUACUACCGCCUAAUCAUCUGAACCUGUAGGAGUUUCUGAUUGUGUGCUCAUAUAUGUUCC